rnacentral:rRNA from 1 species
AUUGAACGCUGGCGGCAGGCCUAACACAUGCAAGUCGAGCGGAUGAAGGGAGCUUGCUCCUGGAUUCAGCGGCGGACGGGUGAGUAAUGCCUAGGAAUCUGCCCGGUAGUGGGGGAUAACGUCCGGAAACGGGCGCUAAUACCGCAUACGUCCUGAGGGAGAAAGUGGGGGAUCUUCGGACCUCACGCUAUCAGAUGAGCCUAGGUCGGAUUAGCUAGUUGGUGGGGUAAAGGCCUACCAAGGCGUCGAUCCGUAACUGGUCUGAGAGGAUGAUCAGUCACACUGGAACUGAGACACGGUCCAGACUCCUACGGGAGGCAGCAGUGGGGAAUAUUGGACAAUGGGCGAAAGCCUGAUCCAGCCAUGCCGCGUGUGUGAAGAAGGUCUUCGGAUUGUAAAGCACUUUAAGUUGGGAGGAAGGGCAGUAAGUUAAUACCUUGCUGUUUUGACGUUACCAACAGAAUAAGCACCGGCUAACUUCGUG